rnacentral:rRNA from 1 species
AGCUUAAAGUUUAUAUUUUAGGUGAGACCUGCUCAAUGAAGAUGUAGAUUAUUUAAAUAGCCGCAGUACUUUGACUGUGCUAAGGUAGCAUAAUAAAUUGGCUUUUAAUUGAAGUCUGGAAUGAAAGGUAAAUUUGAAAAAGAUUGUCUCUAAUUAGAUUUAUUGAACUUACUUAAUAGGUGAAAAUUCCUAUGUUUUUCAUAAUAGACGAGAAGACCCUAAGAAUUAUUAAAAAUAAGUUUAUUUUACUUUAAUUUUUUGUUGGGGCAACAACUUUGAACAUAAAACCAAAGGGUUAAAGAUUCUAAGACAAAUUUUAUUUUGAAAAAAAUUAAUUACCUUAGGGAUAACAGCAUAAUUUUCUUUUUAGAUUGUGACCUCGAUGUUGGAUUAAGGACCCCUUAGGUAAGCCACUUAAGAGAAUAGUUCUGUUCGAACUUUAUAUCCUU